GACCAGAAGGCCUCUUAAGUAAAGUCCUUUCUUAUAAUAGCAGUAUUGAAUCCUAAGUGUUUUACACACAUGACCUCAUUAUUCAAAAACAAUCCUAUGUGAUAGAUGCUAUUUUAAUUGCCACUUUAUGGAUGAGGAAACCGAGGCACAGAGAAUAUUAGGCAACUUGUUCAAGAUGAGUAAACCCAGGCAGACUGACGCAGCAGCCGGAGCCCCUGCCCACCCAUUGCACAAUCUGUCUCCACAAGGAGACCACUCUGGGGAGCUUUCGGGGUGAGGAGGGACUCCUGUUACAAUGAUCAGCCCCAAGGAAAUUUCUCGGGACCUUUUCAGGGAGAGUCAAAACCCCUUCUCUGUCCCAAUUCUAGGUCUGCUUGAUAAGCCAGGAAUAAAGCUAUCCUGUAUCUUCCGGAACUUUCUGCUCCCUGAGGCAGCAGGGCAUUUGUUUGGCCAGGGUUUCCAAGCUCAGAGGCUCUCUGGCCCCAGUGACCCGAGGCAGCCCAUGGGGCUAUGCCAGGGCUUCCAGGCAGGAAGCUGCUGAGUGUACGCCUCCCCUAGCCACUGCCAGGUGAGAUGGAGCUGGGUGGGACAGCCCGCUGAGAACCUAGAACUGGGACCUUUAUGACAGUCCCCUCUACCCCGCCAGAUCAUUCACUAAAAGGCUCCUGAAAACUUGGCUCUGCUCUGUCCUCUGGGCCCCUGCUGCAGGCAGCUGCCUUUCAGUUCAUUACUGGAUCCCACUGAAUCCAAAAUUAGCUUGAUUCACAGAAGGAAAAAAAUACAAAACCCCACUAUAGCCAGAAAGCAAAUUGUCUACCAAGUCCUAUGUGGUAGAAAUAAGGUUUUGCCCUAAGGAGCCAUCUGGCUGUGUGUCCUCUCCCAAACACAUACUUUGUUUGGUACACUUAUUGUCACCCUUCGCCGCGAGGAAACAAAGAGGUGCUGGCUGUGGACCAGUCUCACCAGGAACAAGCUAAUGCUCUAAUGACGCCAGGAAGGGGUGGAGCAGAUAAGACAGGCACACACACCAUGGAAAGAACAUACAGAGAUUUUCCACACUCCUUAAGCAACAGGUACACUCUGUGCGGGGCACGUUGAAUAAAUAAGCCUGAGGGUACAGCGGGGUGGACUCGGAUGCCCAAGGAGAUGAGAAACUGAGGCUCAGAGAGGUUUCUGAAUGGCUGUGGACUCGGGGCUUCCGACUCCCAUUCUUCCUCCUGGGCUGCAGUUUGCCUGGAGAAGCCACACGAUAUCUCUUCAUGUUCCAUCAGCCCUCGCUGGGCGUGAAACCUUGAUUUCUACAGAGGCUGCUUCCUCCCAAGGCCCACUGCAAAGUCACAGCGGUAAAAAGUCUCUUCCUUCCAGGCCAGGCUGGGCUCUCAGGCUGGAGGAGGAGGCGGCAAAGGUGACAAGGUACCAGAGGGACCUCAAAGAAAGCUGAGGGGCAGGGCACCCCCAAAGGCAAACCUGGAACAGCUGAUGACUCUGGCGUUCGCUCCAUGUGAGGUCAGAGAGGACGUCUACGCUAUUGCCACUACUACUAAUAGGAAUGACAGUUACUAUUUAAUUGUGUCGACUGUGUGCCAGGUGUGUACAUCUUGUGGAAGGAAUAAACAUAUGUUCAAAAUGCUCAAUAAACAUGAUCUCUUUUAAUCCUCAAAAGAACUAAUACGACCAGAUUUAAACUUUUAUUUCUGUUUUUCAAACAAGGAUAUCGAGGUUCAGAGAGGUUCGGAACUUGCCUGAGACCUCCCAGCGAGAGGCAGAGCCAAUGCCCCACCUGACAAAGCCCACUCUCCGUACAGUGUACAGUACUGCCCAGACAGUGACACAAACACCACCUCGUUGUUUUUAUUCAACACGUUGGCAUCACCCAGUCCCAGGACACUGGCUCCUGAGGAAGGCAGGCCCCCUUCCGCGCAGCCUUUAAAAUUCCCAGGCAUAAAACUAUUUUGACCGGCCACCCUGGGUCUAAGCCUCAGGACAGGGACCCUUGUCCAUAGCCAAGGCGAAUUUGCCACGUCCUUGCCGACCCCUGCCAAGGUGUCCACUCUGUCUUUCCAUGCUCCCAACACCCACUCUAUCAUUGCACCCAGAGCUUGGGGAGGAGGAGUGAGGUUGCCGCCUAGACCAUUCUCUACAGGGAGAGCCUGGGCUCAGGGGAAGUGAAGAGAGGAAGUGGGUCUCACUUAGACAGUGGAGGAGAGUGGGUGGCUGAGCACUGUGGGUGUGAGGGAUGGUUUGGGAGGCCCUAGGGACUUGCCCCUGAGCCAGGCAAGUUCCCCAAUCCAGUGCACGCAGGCACGCACCACACACACACACACACACACACACACACACACACACACACCCCUCCAGGCGACACAAGGCAGGCAUCUGAGGGCAGCACUGCAACAGGCUACACCUGAGCACAGCUGGCUCAGCCAUCCGGGUACCCACACCUAUGAAGGCUCCAGGAUGCAACGUGUUGAUCUCUCGCUGUGGUUUCUCUUCCUUUUCUGCAUCCUGGGCUCUGCCUGGCAGUUGGCCUCCUGGAAGCCUCCCUUUUUAGGCUUCUCCUCCUCCGUCAGCCCCUAGGCAGGACCUUUUUACUUGACUUGGCUGGGAAAGGGGCAGGGAGGUCGCUGGGCUCCCGAGAAGCCAGUCCCUUUACUGGGGCGCCUCUCAUGAGGCAUUUUCGGAGGUCUCCGGAAGCACAGAUGCCACUUGGUCUUUUUGUUUGUUUCAGGAGGGAAGGGAUUGAAUUUCAGUAAGAGAUGUGGGUCUUUAAACGCCCCCCUCCCCAGCAAAAUACACACAGGGUGUCUGUAAAAUACACAUCCUUGGCACCAUGAGACAAAAUGUGCAGACUCUAAACACCCUGGGACGCCCAAAGCGCAGACCGUCAAGGACAGGAACUCCACGCCCACCCGGGGACAGAAAUGCCCA